rnacentral:rRNA from 1 species
GAUGAACGCUGGCGGCGUGCCUAAUACAUGCAAGUCGAGCGAACAGACGAGGAUCUUGCCUCUCUUACGUUACCGGCGGACGGGUGAGUCCCACGUAGAUAACUUAUCUAUAAGACUGAGAUAACUUCGGGAAACCUGAUCUAAUAUCGGACCAUAUAUUGAACCGCAUGGUUCAUUAGUGAAAGACGGAUUUGCUGUCACUUAUACAUAGAUCCUCGCCGCAUUAGCUAGUUGGUAAGGUAACGGCCUACCAAGGCAACGAUGCGUAGCCGACCUGAGAGGGUGAUCAGCCACACUGGAACUGAGACACGGUCCAGACUCCUACGGGAGGCAGCAGUAGGGAAUAUUCCACAAUGGGCGAAAGCCUGACGGAGCAACGCCGCGUGUGUGAAGAAGGUCUUCGGAUCGUAAAGCUCUGUUAUUUGGGAAGAACAAAAGUAAAAGUAACUAUGCCCGUCUUGACGGUACCUAAUCAGAAAGCCACGGCUAACUACGUG